rnacentral:rRNA from 1 species
AUUGAACGCUGGCGGCAUGCCUUACACAUGCAAGUCGAACGGCAGCACGGGGCAACCUGGUGGCGAGUGGCGAACGGGUGAGUAAUGCAUCGGAACGUACCUUUCAGUGGGGGAUAACGUAGCGAAAGUUACGCUAAUACCGCAUAUUCUGUGAGCAGGAAAGCAGGGGAUCGCAAGACCUUGCGCUGAUUGAGCGGCCGAUGUCAGAUUAGCUAGUUGGUGAGGUAAGGCUCACCAAGGCGACGAUCUGUAGCGGGUCUGAGAGGAUGAUCCGCCACACUGGAACUGAGACACGGUCCAGACUCCUACGGGAGGCAGCAGUGGGGAAUUUUGGACAAUGGGGGCAACCCUGAUCCAGCCAUGCCGCGUGAGUGAAGAAGGCCUUCGGGUUGUAAAGCUCUUUCGGCCGGGAAGAAAUCGCACGGGCUAAUACCCUGUGUGGAUGACGGUACCGGAAUAAGAAGCACCGGCCAACUACGUGCCAGCAGCCGCCGUAACAC